AUGGAGUUUUCCCUCCCCGAGUUAGAUCGUCUUAGCCACCACCUUUUCGCCUGGCACUGGCUCCCUUCCAGUGAGACCACUGGGCACUCGGGGGGCAUCCUUUUAGGUGUGAAGGAUGCCACCUUUGAGGUUGGCGGUAUGGACCAGGGUGAUUUUUUUGUUAGCAUGGAGCUCUUCGAACGGGCGCUCAACUUCAAGUGGGAGGUUGUUACUGUCUAUGGACCGGCGGACCACCGCCGCUCCCCGACCUUCCUCGCUGAGCUGCAAUGGAAGGUCUCCGCUUCCACCCUCCCUGUGGUCAUGGGAGGUGACUUCAACCUCAUCCGCUUUCCGGAUGAGAAGAAUAACGGCCGGAUUAACCGCCCUAGGAUGCAGAUGUUCAACGACUGCAUCGCGGAACUCGGCCUCCGAGAGCUUGAGCGGACUAGUGCCAGAUUUACAUGGAUGAACCGCCAAGCCGACCCGACGCGAUUCGUCCUGGACCGCGUCCUAGUCUCCCCGGAAUGGGAACUCAGGUGCCCCUUGGCUUUGCUUCGGGCGAUUACCCGGAUCGGGUCUGACCACGUCCCUCUCCUCCUCUCCACCGCCAACGAACGCCCUCCCAUCCCACCACGUUUUUGGUUUGAGCUCUUCUGGCUCAACCAAGCGGGUUUCCACGAGGCGGUCGCGGCCAAGUGGAUCACCGCGCGCUCUUCCCCCCAAUGUGUCAUGUUGCUACGUCUUGAGCUUGCAUUGGUUUUCCUUGAACAGGAAAGGGUGAUGCAGCAAUAG
rnacentral:rRNA from 1 species